rnacentral:rRNA from 1 species
AUAUCAAUAAGCGGAGGAAAAGAAACCAACAGGGAUUACCUCAGUAACGGCGAGUGAAGCGGCAACAGCUCAAAUUUGAAAUCUGGGUCUUUCAGGCUCCGAGUUGUAAUUUGUAGAAGAUGCUUUGGGAGCGGCCCCGAUCUAAGUUCCUUGGAACAGGGCGUCAUAGAGGGUGAGAAUCCCGUAUGUGAUCGGUGGCUUGCGCCCGUGUAAAGCUCUUUCGACGAGUCGGGUUGUUUGGGAAUGCAGCUCUAAAUGGGUGGUAAAUUUCAUCUAAAGCUAAAUAUUGGCCAGAGGCCGAUAGCGCACAAGUAGAGUGAUCGAAAGAUGAAAAGCACUUUGGAAAGAGAGUUAAACAGUACGUGAAAUUGUUGAAAGGGAAGCGCUUGCAGCCAGACUUGCGCGGGGUGGAUCAUCCGGGGUUCUUCCCGGUGCACUCGGCCUCGCUCAGGCCAGCAUCGGUUUCGGUGGUUGGAUAAAGGCCUUGGGAAUGUGACUCCUCUCGGGGAGUGUUAUAGCCCUCGGUGCAAUGCAGCCUGCCGGGACCGAGGACCGCGCUUCGGCUAGGAUGCUGGCGUAAUGGUCGUAAGCGA